rnacentral:rRNA from 1 species
CCUUGAAGACGACAAGGUUGAUAGGCUGGGUGUGUAAGCAUGGCAACAUGUUGAGCUUACCAGUACUAAUAGGUCGUGAGGCUUAGCCACUUUUU